ACCACCCGGCCAGCCGGCCAGGAGCCUGCGGAGCCUCCCGGGUCCCCGCGCCGGAGAGGGGCUGGGGGGCAGGCGGCCGGGCGGACCUGGCGGGCGCCGAGGGCGGCCGCGGGCGUCAGCAUGCAGGCGCGGCGGCGCGCGUGAGGAGGAUGCGGCAGCGGGCGCCGCGGCGGGCGGAGGAGUAGGCGGCGGUGCCCUGGGGAGGCAGCCGCGCGCGGGCCAGACGGCUCCCGGAGGCUCCGCAGUGCCACCGCCGUCGCCCGGGAGGCUCCGCGCGGGAGCCAUGUAACCUGCGGCGGGCUCCGGGCUGCUCCGUCCUCGCCCCAGCUCCCCGGCCGGCGCGGCAGCGGGGCCACGAUGAAGAAGCAGUUCAAUCGCAUGCGCCAGCUGGCCAACCAGACGGUGGGCAGGGCAGAAAAGACUGAAGUUCUGAGUGAAGACCUUCUUCAGGUGGAGAAACGCCUGGAGCUGGUGAAGCAAGUCUCCCACAGCACGCACAAGAAGCUCACCGCAUGUCUCCAGGGCCAGCAAGGGGCCGAGGCUGACAAGCGCUCUAAAAAGUUGCCUUUGACAACACUGGCUCAGUGUUUGAUGGAGGGGUCAGCUAUCCUGGGAGAUGACACGCUUCUCGGGAAGAUGCUGAAACUCUGUGGAGAGACCGAGGACAAGCUGGCCCAGGAGCUGAUCCACUUCGAGCUGCAGGUGGAGAGAGACGUGAUUGAGCCCCUGUUUUUGCUGGCCGAGGUGGAAAUCCCAAAUAUUCAGAAGCAGAGGAAACAUUUAGCAAAGUUGGUGUUGGAUAUGGAUUCGUCACGAACAAGGUGGCAGCAGACGUCGAAGUCUUUAGGUUUGUCCGGCAGCUUGCAGCCCGCAGGUGCCAAAGCUGACGCCCUCAGGGAAGAGAUGGACGAGGCCGCCAACCGAGUGGAGAUUUGCAGGGACCAGCUCUCGGCGGACAUGUACAGUUUUGUGGCCAAAGAAAUCGACUAUGCAAACUACUUUCAAACGCUAAUAGAAGUACAGGCGGAAUACCACAGGAAGUCCCUGACGCUCCUGCAGGCUGUGCUGCCCCAGAUAAAGGCACAGCAGGAGGCCUGGGUAGAGAAGCCUUCCUUCGGGAAGCCCCUGGAGGAGCACCUCAUGAUCAGCGGCCGGGAGAUCGCCUUCCCCAUUGAGGCCUGUGUGACGAUGCUGCUGGAAUGUGGAAUGCAGGAGGAGGGACUCUUCCGGGUGGCGCCGUCUGCCUCCAAGUUGAAGAAGCUAAAAGCCGCCCUGGACUGCUGUGUGGUCGAUGUGCAGGAGUACUCAGCAGACCCCCAUGCAAUUGCAGGAGCUUUGAAAUCUUACCUCCGAGAGUUGCCAGAACCUCUUAUGACCUUUGAACUCUAUGACGAGUGGAUUCAGGCUUCCAAUAUUCAGGAGCAAGACAAGAGGCUUCAGGCGCUGUGGAAUGCUUGUGAAAAAUUGCCCAAGGCCAAUCACAACAACAUCCGAUACUUGAUCAAAUUUUUAUCCAAGCUAUCAGAAUAUCAAGAUGUGAACAAGAUGACUCCCAGCAACAUGGCAAUUGUGUUAGGCCCCAACUUGCUGUGGCCACAAGCAGAAGGGAACAUCACGGAGAUGAUGACCACGGUUUCACUGCAGAUUGUCGGGAUUGUCGAACCCAUCAUCCAGCAUGCAGACUGGUUCUUCCCUGGAGAGAUAGAGUUCAACAUCACAGGGAAUUAUGGGAGUCCGGUACACGUGAACCACAACGCCAACUAUAGCUCAAUGCCCUCCCCAGACAUGGACCCCACUGACCGUCGCCAGCCCGAGCAGAUCCGCCGGCCCCUCAGCGUCGCCACGGAUAAUAUGAUGCUGGAGUUUUACAAAAAGGAUGGCAUGGGCGUGCGGGUCAUGGACACGUCCUGGGUGGCCCGAAGAGGCUCCUCGGCCGGCAGGAAGGCGUCCUGCGCCCCGCCCACCAUGCAGCCCCCCGCGCCGCCCGCCGAGCUGGCUGCCGCGCCUCUGCCUUCGCCGCUCCCGGAGCAGCCCCCGGACGGCCCCGCGGUGGCGGCGGCGGUGGCGGCCCCCUCGCUUUCGCCGUCAGGCUUGGGGCUCCAGCCCGGGGUGGAGCGCACCAGCGCUUCGAAAAGCAAGGAGCUUUCUCCUGGAUCUGGGCAGAAAGGAAGUCCAGGCUCCAGCCAGGGGACUCCCUGUACGGGGACCCAGCCGGGGACCCAGCCAGGCGCCAGCCCCAGCCAGCCGCCCCCAGACCAGAGCCCUCACACUCUUCGGAAAGUUUCCAAGAAGCUGGCACCUAUCCCGCCCAAGGUCCCCUUCGGCCAGCCGGGGGCCGUGGCUGACCAGUCUGCCGGCCAGCCGUCCCCGCUCAGCCUGUCCCCCACGCCCCCGAGCACCCCCUCGCCCUACGGACUGAGUUACCCUCAGGGGUACUCCCUGGCCUCUGGCCAGCUCUCCCCGGCCGCCGCGGCCCCUGCCCUGGCCUCCCCCGCCGGCUUCACGAGCGCCGCGGCCAAGUCUCGGCCCACCCCCAAGCCCCGACAGAGACCCACGCUGCCGCCCCCUCAGCCUCCUACGGUCAGCCUGCCGGCCCCGAGUCCGCAGUCCACGGAGCACCCCGUGCUGGAUGGCGUGGCCCCCGGGGAGAGCAUGUCUACAGCCGUGUGACGGGAGGGCCGCGGUUGCGGAUGCGCGUGAGGGGGAUUUCAGGGUAAGCGGCCCCCGGGGCCACGGCGCGCCCGGCUCUGCAUGUGGCUCCGACCCGCCCGCAUGGCAGCUCCACUCCGCGCCCUCCCCGGCCUCGGGGACGCCCGCGAGCCCCUCUGGCUUUCGGGGGACCGCUGGCCUCGUGGGGUCUGGCUGGCUUCGCGCUGGGUCCCGGGGAGGAAGUCCGCAAGCAGGCUUAGCCGCUCCCCCCACCUUCUCCGCCUCCACCCCCACCCCCAGGCACCGGGCGCCCUCUCCCUGUUUUUUACGAGUGCAGGCGUGACAGCGUGGGCCUUGGCUCGGGCGGGUGUCCCGUGAGGGUCCCGCCCGGUGCUGCGGGGACAGGGUCCCCGUGGCCAUGAGGUCCCCCUGGCGGACCCCCAGUUUCCCACGGGGGCUCUAACUUGUCCUCUGGGCCGACGCAGCCGGCGAGGCCCGAAGAAUCCGCCGCGGUGGGUUCAGCCUGGGCUUGUUCGCCCCAGUGUCUGCGGCCCGGGUCCUUCCUAACUCAGGGUUUGGGAAGCAUUCCCCCCGGUUUCUGCCCGGUCUCCUCUGCCCACAGGGACUAGAUGCUCAAAAGUAAAAGCGAGGAAAGCCGCUGUUCUGGUCUCAGUAAGAAGGGGCGGCUCUUCCCCCCCCCCAGCCCCCCCCCCGGGGGCCAGCCCUCCGUGGAAGCUGCCAGGCCCUUGGUCCUGUGGAGACUGGGGACAGGCACAGCACGAGGGUGUCCUGGGCCCUCCUCCUCCCCCGCCCCGGGUCUCCUAACAGAUGCUUCUGAGGCUGUCUCCCCUCCCCGGCAGUCGGUGGGGGCUCCUGUCCUCCACCCCCGUCCUGCCCCCCGCCAGUGGGCUGCCUUCCCUCCGGGCUCUCAGGGAACAGUCGGGUCAGCAGCCAGCCUGUGAUUCCACAGCCACACCCACAAGGUGACGGGACGGGCUUUCGAAUCUGGACAGAAGGCUGCAGGGUAGAUGUCCCCAGACGGGGCCACGAGGCAUCCCCGGAGGCAGGGGGAGCUGAGCCUGGGGCCCCCUCUCAGUAGGAUGAAGACGGGUUGGAAGGACGCUUUGAGGACCGUUUGGGGGGCAGGGUGACAAACAGAAGGACGUUUGUCCCAGAGCUUCCAUGUUUGUAUGUCCGAAUGUCUGUCUGUCCUUGGGCUGAAUGUUGGUUUCAAAAAAUACCUUAAAGAGCCCCCCCAUCCUCCCUCCCCCACCCUGGAGGCUGGCCCAGGGCCACCCCUUCUAGGAACACGUCCCUGUCCUCCAGGCCCAGGUUGAAGGCAAGGCUGUGCGGGGCCAGAAAGGAAGCUGGCUAAGGGGGGUGAGGGGGGGCGGAGCACCCCCAGGGCCUUGGUUCUGCCCCGCCCCCCGGCCACCCCCUGGGUCCACCACCUCCCGUGUGCACCUAGCUACCUAGCUACCGGCUCUGAGGAACCGCCUGGGCUUGGGGCCCGCAGAGGCCCUGAGUUCCGCAUGCUGAGCCCGGUCUCCUCGGGCACAGUCUUCCUGAUCGGCUCCCAGAAGGCAUGAUCUUUCAGUGCCCGCAGUAAGGACGUACCGGGAGAUCUCGUCCACUUUGACAUCCCCUCCAUCCACGUAGAGCUCGGGCCGCCGCUCCGCCUGAGCCCCCUGGAGCACGCGCGGCGACACUCGGUGACGGAGAAGAGGGACUCGGAGGAGGAGUCUGAGAGCACCGCCCUCUG